GAGUAAAUAAAGUUUCUGUGAGGCUCACGGAAAGAACACCAGACCGAAACGACUUUGGCGGUCAUUUCGAUCUUCUCCUUCCUCUUCGUCUCUCUCCUCCGCCUGGCAUUCUUCCAUUGAUCGCCCAAACCGCUCGCCAUGCGGUGCGAUUGCGAUUGCGAUUGCUGUUGCGGUGCUUUUUGUUUCUAUACGCUUCUUCUUCCAUUGGCCAUCGCGCACAGGCAAGAGCAUUAUAUGGAUCUUCCGGUGAGACGAUUUCGUUCUCAAACUGUAGCUGCAUCGAUCGGAUUAUAUAUUAUUGUGUCUAGCAAACGUGUUUGGAUUUGCUCUCAUUAGUGCUGCAAUUCGUGUUUGAUCGAUCGAUGGCGGUAGUUUCGAAGGCUGUGUUUGUCUCUGUUUAAUUAUUAUGAUCAGAUUGGCUCCUUCUGCUACUGCAUGUGAGAAGUGGUUGACGGUGGAGAUCGUGGUAUCUCGUUGAGCCAGACUUUCAUUUUCAGGAGAUUCAUGUGCGGUCAUUGAGCGCGCUUACACGUUAAUGUGUGCAGCGAGUUUCUGUCGAUGAUAUUUGGUACAUAAACUUAUGAGACGUGGAGAGGACGUUCAGUCUAGUGGGGCGCUAUGGACAUGGUCUUGCUUAGUGUGUGUUAGGAGCUUUCAGUUUUUGGUUUCUGCUCAUGUAUUUUUUUUUUUUUUUUUUAAAUUUUAUUUAUGAAGGGUUGAGUUAACCUUGAAAAGGGUCCUAUAUAUAAAAUCAGAUUGUUAC